ACGGAAGAGAUGCCGAUGGUAUAUGGUACGAAUAUUGGCACAGUGACCUGGAUGGUGUGAGACGGGAGAACCUCCCGCAAUGGCAUAACCUACAGGUUGGUUGGGAUGAAGCAACCGCUGGUGAAAGGCGUAAUCGUGUAUCGAUUUGGAAGACUGAGCCCGUAUUACUGCUUCUUUUUUUGGUCUCUAAAUGAUAACAACUUGUCGGGAGAAAUCUGGUUCGUUCAAUGAGUGGGAGUAAAAACUUUCCACAUGGUGCGUCAAUCAGGGACUUGAUUAUUUCAUGGGGUGCGUUCAUUUACGAACAACUUAUUGGGUUGGAUGACGCGCCUAACAGUAUUGAUAAGCCAUUUGUUGAACUACCCGCGCUUGAUGCUUUAAAGGAUGAAAGCAAGAAAAUUGAAGAGUUUGCAGGGGAAAAAAAUUCCGUCUGGUGGAUCGAUGAAUGCACAAUGGAGUCGGGCCUAACUAUGUAUCCACACUUGUUAGAGGAACACCCGUAAGUCAUAUUUGUUUCCAUC